rnacentral:rRNA from 1 species
AGUGAACGCUGGCGGUAGGCCUAACACAUGCAAGUCGAACGGCAGCACAGUAAGAGCUUGCUCUUACGGGUGGCGAGUGGCGGACGGGUGAGGAAUACAUCGGAAUCUACUUUUUCGUGGGGGAUAACGUAGGUAAACUUACGCUAAUACCGCAUACGACCUACGGGUGAAAGCAGGGGAUCUUUGGACCUUGCGCGAUUGAAUGCGCCGAUGUCGGAUUAGCUAGUUGGCGGGUUAAAGGCCCACCAAGGCGACGAUCCGUAGCUGGUCUGAGAUGAUGAUCAGCCACACUGGAACUGAGACACGGUCCAGACUCCUACGGGAGGCAGCAGUGGGGAAUAUUGGACAAUGGGCGCAAGCCUGAUCCAGCCAUACCGCGUGGGUGAAGAAGGCCUUCGGGUUGUAAAGCCCUUUUGUUGGGAAAGAAAAGCAGCAGGUUAAUACCCCGCUGUUCUGACGGUACCCAAAGAAUAAGCACCGGCUAACUUCGUG